CCCCGCUGUUCCUAAAAGAAAGAUUAAGGAUUUGAGUUGGCCUGACGGAGAGAUCUUCCAGGCGACUCCGGCCCAUGGAGGAUGCAGAGCAUCACAUCAGAUCAAACAUUGAUAAACCAGUACUUUACCAGCGUUUUAUCAAUAUCUUUAAAGGACGGGGAGUUUUUGCCACUGAAUUCAUAUCCAAAGGAGACUUUGUUGUGGAGUACCGAGGUGAACUGCUUACACAACAGGAGGGCGAGGUCCGAGCUGAUCACUACAAUGAUUCUGCAAAGGUGUUUCUUUUCCAUUUCCAAUGGAAAGGAAGAACAUGGUGCAUUGAUGCAUCUGAAGAAGACUCCUCCCUUGGGAGACUCGUUAAUGAUGAUCACUAAAGACUCAAUCUCAAAAUGAAGGCCAUACAAGCAAACGAUGAGCCACACUUGUGCCUCUUCGCGACUCGAGAUAUUGCAGCUGGCGAAGAGUUGACUUAUAGUUACGGUGAUUCAGACUGGCCAUGGAGAACACAGGUCAUCAAAGCUGAUGUGUCGUCCAGCCCAAA